AAGGAGCCAUGUGCCUGGCAAAUCAGC
rnacentral:piRNA from 1 species